GCCCUCUCAGGGUCGCAUCUGGAGAGUUUCCAGUACUCUACCGGUCUCGACUAUGGGAGGGAGAGUCAAGCAGAGGCAUGCCCAUUCCAUUGCUAGCUUGGGCAGCGGCUAGCGAAUGGAAGGAAGGCAAUCUGCUACAAGU